UUUUUGGAAGUAUAUUCCGCAACAAGUAGGGAAAAAUCUUGCUCUACAACCCAAAAACAAGAGUAUUUCUGAGAAAAUAUCAAAUCCCAAAGCAAAAUAAUCAGGGUUCUUCUCAGUUUCACAAAUAACAUGAGCACCUACCUCAAAACAAGAUGUCCACGAAUAAAUAAAUAACGAUGAGAUUUCAAAAAAUCUUAUGCCAAUAACAUGAAGUGAAGACAAUUUGGAAACUAACAACACAGAGCCACUAACUACUACAUGGCUUCAAAUGGUUGUAGUACUACACUCUAGCUAGAAUUUCCAAACUCUCUUUCUCAUAAUUUCCUUCAACCAAACAAAACUAUUUAAGAAUCUAAGACUCCAAGAGAUCCUCUCUUUUAUCAUUGAUAUUGAGACAAAGAUACUACUAUAACACAGAGUUAUUUUCUCUUUCAGGAGUACUGGAUCCGUAAAAUUCAACCAAACCCUGCAAUAAAACAACUUGGGUCCUCAAGAGGAGAAUAUAAUCAGCGGUUUCUUUAAACAACUGGUCAGGUUUUACAAUCUCUCCAUUGUGGCAGGUAGCUGGAAUGAGGUUCUUGAGAGCCUCUAACUUGUCCGAGACCUUGCUGCAGGAGCUUGUGAGCCCACCAUUGUAAAUGCCUCUUUGAGCUUUGCAAGCACCUGCAUGUGGCCGUCUUCUUCUUCUUCUUGCAGUCUUUUUUAGUGAGAUCUUGGACUUGGCUGGCAUUGAGCUCAUGGUCGGAGCUAUGGGGUCGUGUCUUUGCUUGUAUGUGGGAGAGAGUGGGAGAAGGGAGAAAGUAUUUCUUGAUAGCAGGGGAGAAUUUGAGGGACUCGAGUCUGGUCGUGGUUUAAGU
rnacentral:lncRNA from 1 species